AGGAAGUGAGCGCAACAUUGUAAACACUAGCGGUUUCUUUUACUGUAGCAGCCGUUCAGCAUUGAGCGAGAGCGCGCUUAACGCUCACUAAAUCGAGUAUUCUUGUUAAACUAUGCGUGUCAUCCCACCAAAUAGUGCAUGAACUUGCGGAUGAGCUUUCACUCGGCUUAAGAUGGGUGUGAAGGGCUUACAGUACUUCAUGGAGACAUGCUGCGCAGACACUUGUGUGCCAGUGGACCUGAAACAGAUGGCAGUCGAUCAUGUCAAAGCCCAUCCGGACAGAACCGCCACAGUAGUAGUGGAUGGAAUGGCCUGUUUAAGAUACUGGUAUCGCUGUCCAGCUUGGGUCCAUGGCGGUCAGUGGCAAGAGUACAUGCAUAUCCUUCAAGAGUUUGUGGAUGAGUUCACGGCGGCAGGCAUACGCUUAGUCUUUUUCUUCGACGGAACGGUCGAGGAUCAAAAGCGGGCAGAGUGGGUGAAGAGGCGCCUGAGAGUCAACCAAGACAUCGCGAGAAUAUUUCAGCACAUUAAGACUCACGGUCAGCAGCCGAACAGCAGAGACCUUUUCUGCCUUCCCUCCGGACUCGCAACCUUCUCCAUGUUUGCCCUCAAAUGCAUCGGCCAGGAAACACGGUGCUCUGUUCGCGAAGGAGAUUAUGAGAUUUCCGACUACGCUUUGUCUCACAACUGCAUGGGCAUCCUUGGUCAAGAUACAGACUUUGUUAUCUACAACACGGUUCCAUACCUGUCCAUCAGUAAACUCAGAUUAAACAACAUGACAACAGUGCUGUUCUCCAGAGAGCGGUUAUGCCAAGUUUUGAAGCUUCAUAUGACUGACCUUCCUCUCUUGGCCUGUCUGUUGGGUAAUGACGUCGUGUCUGAACAGCAAAUCCAGCGUCUCCGCAACAGUGCUUUGGCGUUAUUUAGAAAGAAACACGGGCAGGUUCAGGGAGACAAGGUCUACGCUGUUGCAGACUUCAUUAACGUUCAUCAUCCCAGCACUGGGGCAACAUUUGGUCUUUCCUCACUUUCGUUAGUUGAAGAAGAGAAAGAAGCUUUAGAAAAAGGCAUACGCAUAUAUUUACUUCCAGGCCAAACGUCCCCUUGGUUAGAAAGCAGCCGUCUCGUACCUGAGUCCGUGUGUUUGAUGGGCAAGUAUGUACCGGGUGACAUAUUACAGGCAGCGCUAGAAAAGCACACACGGGCCGAGUGUUUCCUGGUCUAUAAUGUGUUAUAUGAUGGAGUCGUGGCGUGCAGUAACACUUUGGAAGAUGAGGAUGAGGUGGAGUUACCACCGCAGGCCAUCUUAUAUCUGCUUGUCCGAGAACGAAUCUACGGCCUUUUACUGCCAGUGCAGCCAGAUUGUUCUGGUCAGACUGUGUCAGUCAAAGAAUGGUUCGUCUUUCCAGGAAAUCCACUUAAGGAGCCAACCAGAGUCACUCCAAAACCCCUUAAUAAUCUAAAAGGGCCUCCUGAUCUGAUGGCUCUGUGGUUUAGGACGGACCCAGAGGUGAAAGCAGUCCAAACAUCAACACUCCUGGAUAUCUUUGACCUGUAUGAGUUUACUGAAGAGCUGAAAUGCUUUGACAGCCCUUUGAUUGCUGUGAUUUGUCUUGUAACCUACAUUGCCAUUCAGGCGAGACAGCUUUCCCUGGAAGACGUAGAUGCAUAUCUAAGCCAAGCUGUUUGUGUCAGACUCAAAUCCUUCAGAGAAAUGCAACAGCUCAGGACCCCUGUUGUGGACCCUAGGGCCGUCCAGCUCGGUUCUCUCUUUGUGCGGGGUCUGACCUACCUCAUCGCAGCCAACAGUGCUUGUGGUUUCCCUUUCCCAAUGGGUGAGCUCAUGCCGUGGAAGACCUUUGACGGCCUGCUCUUCCAUUCAAAGUAUCUGCAAGCCCACUCAGGCUGUCCGAAAGAGGAGCUUCUUGAAGGAAAUUCCUCUUGGAUGUCUUUGUUCAUGUCUGUCAGAGAGCUGGUGCUGGAAGCCUGCAGGAGGCGCGGCGUCUCCAUCCACAGCCGACCGCGUAGACUACAACACAGAGAUGCGAGACCCGUGGAGGCUGAUGAUCUGCAUCGAGAAAGAGGACACCAGCUCCAUCACAGCACACGGCAGGAGUUCAGACAGCAGCCCAGAGCUUCUGCACACUACCAGCACGGUAUACCACAGUACACAAGACAAACGCUGGCAUAAACAAAGAUCAAAGCUUGUUAUAGACCAAGACAUCCAAAGAGAGGAAGCUAUCACCUCGCACCACGAUGGCCCCGGUCUCAAAACUAAACAACACUGACUGAUGAGAAAUGAAUUACUAGGCUCUUGUGGAAAUAAUUGUCACCCACAGAACAAAGCAUUUCAUUCUCAGAUGUGAAUGUUCAUGUCCAUGUUCUUGCUUGCCUUAAUUUAGAUUCUGCACUUUUGUUUUGCCUGCAGAUGUUUUUGACAGAUGUGUCUGCAGUAUCAGUAAAAAUCACUCAAAAACAUCAAAUUGUACAUGAAUAUGCAUUUUUAACAGUCACAUAGGACAAACUUUGUUCAGUGAUAUCCUUGAAAGCCCUCACAAUUAUAUUGUAUAGUGAGAUUACAGUCUUUUUUCCGCCUUCCAUGUGGAUGAUAUGAAUCAGUGACCAAAAUGGAAGCUUCCUAAACUGUGUGCCAAACCCAUUCAUUCUGCUCAGACCCUAAUUAGUCUCAGAUGAUCUCUUACCUUUCAACUGCUGGUUUGGCGUUGACUCCAGUUGUUCACAAUUACAAAGAUUAUUUGUCUCCCUCAACACAUUCAGAUUCUAGAUUUUCAAGCAGUCAUUUUCUUUUAAAAAUUGUUAAUGAUAAUGUGCGUGUCAUUUCAUCAAAAGUUGCGGUUGUGGUUCUGGCAUAUCGUGACCAAAAUGUACUUUUGAUACUCUGUUUCAUGUCCAUCAUGGCUAAAAGUUCUAGUAUUACAGUUCAUGCAGUAUUUUAUGUCAUGCAAACAUUAAAAUCUGCCUAAAAUAUUGCAUGGAUUCGGCGUAUUACAUGUCCGUUGAAUUUUCAUCUUCAGCCAAGGUCUAAGGGCACAUUUUCCAUUUUCCUUGUGAUUUAUUAAUCUGAUUAUGAUGAAACUCUUGUCCCAAUGCAGAAACUCUGUAAAUUAAUUUAUUGCUAUCCAGACAAUGAGUUUUUCUUGGUCUGUUCCCCUCUUUGCCCUGGCUGUGAAACAGUGCCUCUGCUAGGUAUUGUUAAACACCCCAGAGCGGAAAUAGGAUAUGGAGAAAGUUCCACAGCUUAAGUGGUCAAAGCACAGCUCUUCCCCUUAUCUACAGAGAAUGAAAGCCGCAGGAAUGAAAAACAGUACUAGACAAACACGUGACUCGGCUAGGCAUGGCAAGAGCAUAUAGGCACAGCAGGAAAUGGAGGCGACAGAUUUACUCAUGCAAAACAAAGUGCUGAUUGACGAACCUUUGGCAGUUGAAAAGCAUUUGAAAUCGACAGUAGGGGAUCAUUGGAAAUUGAAAACUGUGAAACCAUCAGUAAAGUACAAAAUAUGAAUGGAAAAAAUGAAUAAAAAGGAAUAGGAAUAAAUUACAUUUUAAAAUAUAUUAAAAUUGAAAACAGUUAUAUAAAAUUGUAAUAAUAUUUUACAGUAUUACUGUUUUUACUGCAUUUUUUAAAAUCAAAUAAUGCAGCCUUGGUGAGCAUAGAGACUUCUUUUAAAAACAUAAAAAUCAUUGCCUGAACUUGGUUUAACUCUGUCAAAUAGGUUAUAUGUUAUCGCUAAACAUCGGUUUCCUUACAGAGAAAAUGAACAUGAUUCUUUAUUUCCAGAACCCGGCUGUCGUGCUUCAGUGAAAUGGGCUGGGAUGUUUCUAUGCAAAUGUAACUCUGAAUGAAGUUAUUUAUAAGCAUACAGAAUCAUUUCCUGUGCAGCGUUUUGCUUUGAUUCUAAAUCUGUUUGCUCAGUCCUGGCACGACCGGGUGCCAAUUGUGUAUCCAGUGCUUUUUUAAACUAAAUAAAUAAAACCACUAGAUUAGCAACACUCACUACAACACAUUGUCCUUUUCAUCUGUUUAAUUAUAGCGUGUGUGUGUGUAUGUGUGUGCUAAUGGUAAAUAUAGCCUCUAUUCUCAUGGCCGUGUGGUCAGAGCUCCGCGGGCUGACGCUGGAGUUAGCGUGAGGGUGAUUGGGUGCCGGCCCGUUGAGGGUGGGGAACAGAGCGUUUGUUCUGCAGCAGGCGCUGUGGGGUGGAGGUGGGGACACACGCUGCCACAAGAAGCCAGACUUUGGCACGCUGUCAACACAGUUUCCUUCACAGAGCACGAGAGAGACGGAGGGAGGGAAAGCAGGCAUGAUGGAGCCAACAAUUAUCUGGCGCUCUGUCCCUCACAUAUUCACUCUCUGCUUGUGGAAUUGAGGGCAGGCGGGGCUGCACUUUUGAGUCUGGGGUCCGUUUUGCGGAAAACCGUCUUGGCUGUGACAGAGUACUGGGGGCAUUUUAUUUAGACAUUUUGUAGUCCCCAAAUAAACAGCGGCCGCAGAAAAUUUCUACUUUCUGUGAAGUUUUGGUUUUGGUCAGUGUGUGAAUAAUAAAAUGACUUUCAGCUGCAGUCAACUCACUUUUCUAAAGCAGUUUCUGUAAGGAGUUUUCAUGCUGCAAUCUUUCUCUUACAUUUUUAAAACAUUUAAAAUCACAUACAUAUAUAUACUUGACAAGUGAAUUUAUAAUAAAAUGUAUUAUAAUAAAACUACACUACCGUUCAAAAGUUUGGGGAGAGUAAGGUUUAUUUUAUUUGAAGAAGUUACUUAUGCUCACCAAGACUGCAUUUAUUUUAAAUAUUAUAAGUUUCAAAUACCCGUUUUGUAUUUGAAUAUUUUUUUUUUAAAUGUAAUUUAUUCCUGUGCUGUAUUUUCAGCAUCAUUACUGCAGUCUUCAGUGUCACAUGAUCCUUCAGGGAUCAUUCUAAUAUGCUGAUUUGUUGCUCAAGAAACAUUUAUUAUUAUUAUUAAUGUUAAAAAAAGUUGUGCUGCUGAUUCAUAUUUUGUGGAAAUAGUGAUUUUUCAGGAUUCUUUGAUGAAUAGAAAAAUUUUUACUGUCACUUUUGAUCAAUUUAAUGCAUCCUUGAUGAAUAAAAGCAUUAAAAAAAAACUUUUGAAAAGUAGUGUAUAACAAGUAUAAGUAUUUCUUAUGACACUAUAAACUGUUUGUUUUGGACUCAAGUUUCAAUUGGGGGGGCUAGAACCCCUAAACCAAACCUGUUGUGUUUCAUGAUAAUAAUGUAAUCGUACACCACGAGGACAUAGAAAUGUCUGCUUGAUGAUGGUGGUAAUGAUGAUAAUUACAGAUUGUUAGAUCUGUUUUCUGUAAUAACCACCCUCCCGCGACUUUUGGUUUCUGAGUCAAAACAUAAAGUUGUUCCGUAGUUAAAAAUGACCCAAUGUCACUGUCUCCGAAGAUCUGUAAUUGCUUCCUGACCCAAAAAAUAAAAACAGCAGUCUAAUAUUACUGCAGCAUCAGGUAGUGUUAUGAUUCACUGUGGGAACUUAUCUUUCUUGAGAGACCACUGCUUAAAAUGCAGAAAAUGGCUUUGCAUGAGUCUAAAAAUACUGAGGUGUACUGAACACAUAUACAGCCGCUGAUAUUUACGGCAGCAGCUAUGAAUAGAGGACUGUAAAACUCAGGAACUGGCCCCAGAUUUACUCUCGCCGUAAUUGUAUGUGGACUCACACCAAGAUACAAACCAAGGCAAGAAAAAUAGACAACUACUGGAAAAAAAUAACACUUUUUAUUUUUGGUGUUGUUAGUUAUUUUGUUUUUGGACUAGGUGCAAAACUCUGCGUGCGAUUCUCAUGACUAAUGCUUACAAACUUUCAUAUAGAUCUGUUUGUUUCUUACUGACGUCUUAUAUCAACAUGCCAAUGUAGAGAACAAU